rnacentral:rRNA from 1 species
AUUGAACGCUGGCGGCAGGCCUAACACAUGCAAGUCGAGCGGAUGAAGGGAGCUUGCUCCUGGAUUCAGCGGCGGACGGGUGAGUAAUGCCUAGGAAUCUGCCUGGUAGUGGGGGAUAACGUCCGGAAACGGGCGCUAAUACCGCAUACGUCCUGAGGGAGAAAGUGGGGGAUCUUCGGACCUCACGCUAUCAGAUGAGCCUAGGUCGGAUUAGCUAGUUGGUGGGGUAAAGGCCUACCAAGGCGACGAUCCGUAACUGGUCUGAGAGGAUGAUCAGUCACACUGGAACUGCAACACGCUCCAGUCUCCUACGGGCUGCCGCAGCGCGGAAUAGUCGACAGUAGUCGGAAGCCUUCUCCAGCCAUGCCUCGUGUUUCAAUAAGUGCUUCGGAUUCUAGAUCACUUUAAGUUGGGAGGAAGGGCAGUAAGUUAAUACCUUGCUGUUUUGACGUUACUAACAGAAUAAUCACCUGCUAACUUCGUG